UACGAAGGGGGCUAGCGUUGUUCGGAAUUACUGGGCGUAAAGCGCACGUAGGCGGGUCGUUAAGUCAGGGGUGAAAUCCCAGAGCUCAACUCUGGAACUGCCUUUGAUACUGGCGACCUAGAGUCCGGAAGAGGUUAGUGGAAUUCCCAGUGUAGAGGUGAAAUGCGCAGAUAUCGGGAAGAACACCCGUGGCGAAGGCGGCUCUCUGGGGACGGUACUGACGCUGAGACGCGCAAAGCGUGGG
rnacentral:rRNA from 1 species